rnacentral:rRNA from 1 species
UGAGUAACCUGCCCUUAACUCUGGGAUAAGCCUGGGAAACUGGGUCUAAUACCGGAUAUGACUCCUCAUCGCAUGGUGGGGUGGAAAGCUUUAUUGUGGUUUUGGAUGGACUCGCGGCCUAUCAGCUUGUUGGUGAGGUAAUGGCUCACCAAGGCGACGACGGGUAGCCGGCCUGAGAGGGUGACCGGCCACACUGGGACUGAGACACGGCCCAGACUCCUACGGGAGCAG